rnacentral:lncRNA from 1 species
AAGCUUGUGACUCUUGAGUUAUGUAACUCUUGUGACUCUUGGGUUAUGUAACUCUUGUGUUAUAAAGUGGGGGUUAUGGUUCCCACAUUAGUGCAAGAUAAGACUCUUCUUCCUCCCAUUGAAUCAAGAGCCAAAAUACUCCAUUGUUGUCUUGCAAAUAGUGUGGAAAACCAUAGACCUAUUUGAUCAUUGUCACAACAUUAUUAUUG